rnacentral:rRNA from 1 species
CGGAAGGGUGCGAACGUUAUUCGGAAUUAUUGGGCGUAAAGGGUGUGUAGACGGUAUAUUAAGUCUGUUGUUAAAUCUUUCGGCCUAACCGAAAAUCUGCAGUAGAUACUGAUGUGCUAGAGGGUGGAAGAGAGAAGUGGAAUUCUCGGAGUAGCGGUAAAAUGCGUAGAUCUCGAGAGGAACACCAAUGGCGAAGGCAGCUUCUUGGUCCAUACCUGACGUUGAGACACGAAAGCGUGGGGAGCAAACAGGAUUAGAUACCCUGGUAGUCCACGCUGUAAACGAUGAUCACUAGACGUUAAUUUUGUUUACAGAAUUAGUGUCGUAGCUAACGCGGUAAGUGAUCCGCCUGGGAACUACGGUCGCAAGAUUA